rnacentral:rRNA from 1 species
UACAGAGGGUGCGAGCGUUGUCCGGAAUCACUGGGCGUAAAGGGCGCGUAGGUGGCUUGGUAAGCGUGUGGUGAAAGCCCGGGGCUCAACCCCGGAUCUGCCGUGCGAACUGCUGAGCUCGAGCAAUGUAGAGGCAGGUGGAAUUUCGGGUUGUAGCGGUGGAAUGCGUAGAUAUCGGGAAGAACACCAGUGGCGAAGGCGGCCUGCUGGGCUGUUCCUGACGCUGAAGCGCGAAAGCUAGGGGAGCGAACGGGAUUAGAUACCCGUGUAGU